ACUUCCCCUCAACGCGCUGCUCAGGGAUGACCUUCGGCACUGUGCUUCUUCUGAGUGUCCUGGCUUCUUAUCAUGGAUUCAACCUGGAUGUGGAGGAGCCUACGAUCUUCCAGGAGGAUGCAGGCGGCUUUGGGCAGAGCGUGGUGCAGUUCGGUGGAUCUCGACUCGUGGUGGGAGCACCCCUGGAGGUGGUGGCGGCCAACCAGACGGGACGGCUGUAUGACUGCGCAGCUGCCACCGGCAUGUGCCAGCCCAUCCCGCUGCACAUCCGCCCUGAGGCCGUGAACAUGUCCUUGGGCCUGACCCUGGCAGCCUCCACCAACGGCUCCCGGCUCCUGGCCUGUGGCCCGACCCUGCACAGAGUCUGUGGGGAGAACUCAUACUCAAAGGGUUCCUGCCUCCUGCUGGGCUCGCGCUGGGAGAUCAUCCAGACAGUCCCCGACGCCACGCCAGAGUGUCCACAUCAAGAGAUGGACAUCGUCUUCCUGAUUGACGGCUCUGGAAGCAUUGACCAAAAUGACUUUAACCAGAUGAAGGGCUUUGUCCAAGCUGUCAUGGGCCAGUUUGAGGGCACUGACACCCUGUUUGCACUGAUGCAGUACUCAAACCUCCUGAAGAUCCACUUCACCUUCACCCAAUUCCGGACCAGCCCGAGCCAGCAGAGCCUGGUGGAUCCCAUCGUCCAACUGAAAGGCCUGACGUUCACGGCCACGGGCAUCCUGACAGUGGUGACACAGCUAUUUCAUCAUAAGAAUGGGGCCCGAAAAAGUGCCAAGAAGAUCCUCAUUGUCAUCACAGAUGGGCAGAAGUACAAAGACCCCCUGGAAUACAGUGAUGUCAUCCCCCAGGCAGAGAAGGCUGGCAUCAUCCGCUACGCUAUCGGGGUGGGACACGCUUUCCAGGGACCCACUGCCAGGCAGGAGCUGAAUACCAUCAGCUCAGCGCCUCCGCAGGACCACGUGUUCAAGGUGGACAACUUUGCAGCCCUUGGCAGCAUCCAGAAGCAGCUGCAGGAGAAGAUCUAUGCAGUUGAGGGAACCCAGUCCAGGGCAAGCAGCUCCUUCCAGCACGAGAUGUCCCAAGAAGGCUUCAGCACAGCCCUCACAAUGUCUCUGCCCAGCCCUGGAAUUCUUUCCUCCCAGGAUGGCCUCUUCCUGGGGGCUGUGGGGAGCUUUAGCUGGUCUGGAGGUGCCUUCCUGUAUCCCCCAAAUAUGAGCCCCACCUUCAUCAACAUGUCUCAGGAGAAUGUGGACAUGAGGGACUCUUACCUGGGUUACUCCACCGAGCUAGCCCUGUGGAAGGGGGUACAGAACCUGGUCCUGGGGGCCCCCCGCUACCAGCAUACCGGGAAGGCUGUCAUCUUCACCCAGGUGUCCAGGCAAUGGAGGAAGAAGGCCGAAGUCACAGGGACGCAGAUCGGCUCCUACUUCGGGGCCUCCCUCUGCUCUGUGGAUGUGGACAGCGAUGGCAGCACCGACCUGAUCCUCAUUGGGGCCCCCCAUUACUAUGAGCAGACCCGAGGGGGCCAGGUGUCCGUGUGUCCCUUGCCUAGGGGGCAGAGGGUGCAGUGGCAGUGUGACGCUGUUCUCCGUGGUGAGCAGGGCCACCCCUGGGGCCGCUUUGGGGCAGCCCUGACAGUGUUGGGGGAUGUGAAUGAGGACAAGCUGAUAGACGUGGCCAUUGGGGCCCCGGGAGAGCAGGAGAACCGGGGUGCUGUCUACCUGUUUCACGGAGCCUCAGAAUCCGGCAUCAGCCCCUCCCACAGCCAGCGGAUUGCCAGCUCCCAGCUCUCCCCCAGGCUGCAGUAUUUUGGGCAGGCGCUGAGUGGGGGUCAGGACCUCACCCAGGAUGGACUGAUGGACCUGGCCGUGGGGGCCCGGGGCCAGGUGCUCCUGCUCAGGAGUCUGCCGGUGCUGAAAGUGGGGGUGGCCAUGAGAUUCAGCCCUGUGGAGGUGGCCAAGGCUGUGUACCGGUGCUGGGAAGAGAAGCCCAGUGCCCUGGAAGCUGGGGACGCCACCGUCUGUCUCACCAUCCAGAAAAGCUCACUGGACCAGCUAGGUGACAUCCAAAGCUCUGUCAGGUUUGAUCUGGCACUGGACCCAGGUCGUCUGACUUCUCGUGCCAUUUUCAAUGAAACCAAGAACCCCACUUUGACUCGAAGAAAAACCCUGGGACUGGGGAUUCACUGUGAAACCCUGAAGCUGCUUUUGCCAGAUUGUGUGGAGGAUGUGGUGAGCCCCAUCAUUCUGCACCUCAACUUCUCACUGGUGAGAGAGCCCAUCCCCUCCCCCCAGAACCUGCGUCCUGUGCUGGCCGUGGGCUCACAAGACCUCUUCACUGCUUCUCUCCCCUUCGAGAAGAACUGUGGGCAAGAUGGCCUCUGUGAAGGGGACCUGGGUGUCACCCUCAGCUUCUCAGGCCUGCAGACCCUGACCGUGGGGAGCUCCCUGGAGCUCAACGUGAUUGUGACUGUGUGGAACGCAGGUGAGGAUUCCUACGGAACCGUGGUCAGCCUCUACUAUCCAGCAGGGCUGUCGCACCGACGGGUGUCAGGAGCCCAGAAGCAGCCCCAUCAGAGUGCCCUGCGCCUGGCAUGUGAGACAGUGCCCACUGAGGAUGAGGGCCUAAGAAGCAGCCGCUGCAGUGUCAACCACCCCAUCUUCCAUGAGGGCUCUAACGGCACCUUCAUAGUCACAUUCGAUGUCUCCUACAAGGCCACCCUGGGAGACAGGAUGCUUAUGAGGGCCAGUGCAAGCAGUGAGAACAAUAAGGCUUCAAGCAGCAAGGCCACCUUCCAGCUGGAGCUCCCGGUGAAGUAUGCAGUCUACACCAUGAUCAGCAGGUGCCCAGUCCCUGGCCUUCCCCUUGGACCUCUGGCCUUCCUCUAUGCCUGGCAGGAAGAAUCCACCAAGUACUUCAACUUUGCAACCUCCGAUGAGAAGAAAAUGAAAGAGGCUGAGCAUCGAUACCGUGUGAAUAACCUCAGCCAGCGAGAUCUGGCCAUCAGCAUUAACUUCUGGGUUCCUGUCCUGCUGAACGGGGUGGCUGUGUGGGAUGUGGUCAUGGAGGCCCCAUCUCAGAGUCUCCCCUGUGUUUCAGAGAGAAAACCUCCCCAGCAUUCUGACUUCCUGACCCAGAUUUCAAGAAGUCCCAUGCUGGACUGCUCCAUUGCUGACUGCCUGCAGUUCCGCUGUGACGUCCCCUCCUUCAGCGUCCAGGAGGAGCUGGAUUUCACCCUGAAGGGCAAUCUCAGUUUCGGCUGGGUCCGCGAGACAUUGCAGAAGAAGGUGUUGGUCGUGAGUGUGGCUGAAAUUACGUUCGACACAUCCGUGUACUCCCAGCUUCCAGGACAGGAGGCAUUUAUGAGAGCUCAGAUGGAGAUGGUGCUAGAAGAAGACGAGGUCUACAAUGCCAUUCCCAUCAUCAUGGGCAGCUCUGUGGGGGCUCUGCUACUGCUGGCGCUCAUCACAGCCACACUGUACAAGAGUGGCUGAAGUGAGAGAGAAAUGAGGCCAGGGCAUGUGCACAGAUCUGCCUGGAUCUAUGCUGUCCUGCCACGGGUCGUGUGUGUACCUACUGUGCUCGGGGCCAGCAGAUGCUCGAUAUAUGAUAGCUGUUCACAUAAAUGUUCUCGCACACAAACCUUGGCUUCUUCAAACGCCACUACAAGGAAAUGCUGGAGGACAAGCCUGAAGACACUGCCACAUUCAGUGGGGACGAUUUCAGCUGUGUGGCCCCAAAUGUGCCUUUGUCCUAAUAAUCCACUUUCCUGUUUAUCUCUACCACUGUGGGCUGGACUUGCUUGCAACCAUAAAUCAACUUACAUGGAAACAACUUCUGCAUAGAUCUGCACUGGCCUAAGCAACCUACCAGGUGCUAAGCACCUUCUCGGAGAGAUAGAGAUUGUAAUGUUUUUACAUAUCUGUCCAUCUUUUUCAGCAAUGACCCACUUUUUACAGAAGCAGGCAUGGUGCCAGCAUAAAUUUUCAUAUGCUUAAGAAUUGUCACAUGAAAUGAGGAUGUUUAUAGCACACUUUCCUUGCGUGGAAGAGCUAUAACCCAGGGACCUGAGUGCCUCUCUGGGAAUAGUCGGGGGAACCUAUUUGUGGGCAUUGAAAAAGUUUUUUCACUUUC